rnacentral:rRNA from 1 species
GAUGAACGCUGGCGGCGUGCCUAAUACAUGCAAGUCGAGCGAACAGACGAGGAGCUUGCUCCUCUGACGUUAGCGGCGGACGGGUGAGUAACACGUGGAUAACCUACCUAUAAGACUGGGAUAACUUCGGGAAACCGGAGCUAAUACCGGAUAACAUGUUGAACCGCAUGGUUCAACAGUGAAAGACGGUCUUGCUGUCACUUAUAGAUGGAUCCGCGCCGCAUUAGCUAGUUGGUAAGGUAACGGCUUACCAAGGCAACGAUGCGUAGCCGACCUGAGAGGGUGAUCGGCCACACUGGAACUGAGACACGGUCCAGACUCCUACGGGAGGUAGCAGUAGGGAAUCUUCCGCAAUGGGCGAAAUCCUGACGGAGCAACGCCGCGUGAGUGAAGAAGGUCUUCGGAUCGUAAAACUCUGUUAUUAGGGAAGAACAAAUGUGUAAGUAACUAUGCACGUCUUGACGGUACCUAAUCAGAAAGCCACGGCUAACUACGUG